rnacentral:lncRNA from 1 species
GUCUAUCAUGCACGCCAGGUGAUCGACGGUAUGCGCGCAGGCACAGGUGCGCCUUUGGAAUGUAUAUAGACAGACAUCCCUGAAACUUGGUGUGCAUCGUAGACUGCAGUUCUGCAUCAUUUUCUGUGGGACUGUGGCAAGACUCUUCACUGUUUAGACCUUACUGAAAUUUACCGUGAGAGGGUGGAUUCAGCCGAUACCAAGAAAUCAGAACUUGCUGUUUUCGUAGAACUUUAGAUGGUUUGCAUUUGAAAGUAGUUGCUUUUUUUUUGGUGACAAACUGAUAGGCUGUGAAGUCCCAUUCGUAUCUUGCAGAUAGUAAAUCAUGCAUCGCACAUAAGCAAAAAAAUUGGUAACAAACGGUUCUACGCCUUUUGACCGUGGAAUCUUUGGCCAAAGAUAGAGUAAAAUAACAUUCCACCCCAUGUGCUAGAACCCAAAGUGUAGUCCACAUUCCACAAUAAAGUUGCUUAGUUUUAUGUACUGUCCAAUAUUCGUAGAACUUGGUCAUGAAUAGAAGUGAUGGCACCAUCACAACUCCACUUAAGCAGUGUUUCAUUCUUUAGCCAGUGAAGGGCUGAUGGCACCGUCUCAGAUUUCUUUCUAAGCAACUGUAAAGAUCGGCUUUUGCAAUACAUAGAUACCCUUAAUGGUCUGUCCUUAUCUUCAGGACUGUUGAAUUGAUAGUGACCAUGAUUUGGAUGAAGAUUUAGUGUUCCUAAUUAGACCACACACUCAUCUGAGACGUCACAGUACUACAAUCUUGAUAUCAAACUGCACAUGCUUUUGUUAGUUAUCACUGUUAUUUGAACAUUGGAAAGGGAAAAAAGGAGCUCCACAUGCUAGUUCACUGAUGAUCACAGUAUGGUGGUGCAACAGCAGCCACCAGCUUUGGGUAAUACCGGCACAUAGACAAAUAUAAUUGCCUUGAUUCUUGGUGCCGGGUCUCCAUCACAAGUUGAGUCAGACACAGCGGUUAGUGUGAACUUAGGUGUUAACAAUGUUGCCUGCACAUGCUAACCUCCUUCUUGUCUUUGUUAGGUUGCAACAAGAAACCAAUUAGUUCAUCUAUCUAAUCUAAGUAGUAGUAGUAUAUGUUAGCAACUCAUGAUUGCUUCGUUCUUAGAAACGAGCAAAAAGAACGCAGUCUCAUUUCAUAGCCAAACUCUAUUAGCAUGAUAGCAUCUAUUUCGAAGAAAUUUAUGACUUCUGUACAUUCUAAAUUCUUUCCACAAUAAGAAGAACAGAUAUGCCAAAAAUGACGAAAGAAACAGGAGAUUCAAGCCUGAGAAAAGCGCUAGAAGGACGGUCUACAAGCCAUAGAAUGGUAAUGGUAAUGCUGUGCUCCUCAAUAUAGCGACACGGACGAAUCAUCUCCGACCUGCGUGGUGCUGUACUUGUUGGAGGAGUCCGACUUCGUCAAGUCACCGGACCGCCGCCGGAGCAUCUGGCGCAUGCCGUCGGCGACCCGGACGGCGGGGUUGGACUUGAACAUCUUGCAGAAGGCCAUGUGCGCCCUCACGGCCUCCUCCACGCCCGGGUGAGCCUUCUUCCUGCCGGCCUCGUCCCUGACGGCCUCGCAGCACAGCCCGCACAGCCACUGGCCGUAGAAGCUGGCUCUCACGCUCGCAAUGUAGUCUUGGGUGCAGUCCUCCCUCAGGCCACAGCACUCACACUUGACUGACUCUAUCUCCAUUGCUGCUGUGGCUGUUGCUCCGUGCUGUGCUCUGCUGUGGUGUGCUGUGCUGGCCUUGGUUGGCUUCUUGGGAGGCUAUUUGUAGGGGAGGAGGUUAUUACGGUUGCGAGGGCAGGGGUGGGGUGGGGAUGGGAUGGGGUGUAUUUAUGAUUGGAAGGCGUUGCUGCAUGUUCUGAGGCGAGAGAUUUGAGACAGACAGAGUUAGUUGGGCGUGAGCCUCAUUUGCUGGCCUUUUCCCUGGCAUUUAAAAACUCUGGCAUCAGUUGGUGGCUGGAAAGGGCUGCUGUUGCUGUGGGAAUUUGGGAGGGGGGGGCUCUCCCCUUCCACGCAACAUGCAACCUUUGUCCCUUGUUUCUCAAUCCUCCGUUGCCACCUAGUAUACAUUUUUUUUCAGGGUUAGUUCAAAGGAGUUGGUUCUUUGUCAGGUCUCAGUCUUGUCCAGUUUCCUGUAGGUAUGGAUUUCUACAAUGCUUUUUCUGGUGACAUGGGCUAACCAACUGUCAGAGUGAGGACAUCUCACCCUGCUACCAGAUUAGGUUCUAUGCACCAGCACAAGUUAGUCCAUAAAACUCGAAGUGUCGUAGGAUUGCAUAAUUUAACCUGGAUGUUCUUGUCAAUCAAUACUGUCCAUGCUUGCUCGUCCUUUAUAAGUGGCAGUUGGCUCCUGAGAUAUUCUGAAUUGCAUAAUUGUGAGUUGUACACUCACUCCAUCCACAAGCCUUUCUUUUUGAAAAUUACCAUACAGAUUCAGCACAUGGCUUGGUGAAAAAAUAUAGUACCGUGCAGAUUCCAGCAGCCACCUGUAAUUAGGAUUUAGAGAUGGAGGGCAUACACGGUAGUAUCAAUUUUAUAUAUUUUAUUUAUGUUUGAAAAGGUUUAGGGCUAGCUUUAGUCGGUUCACACCUCUUUUCAUGAAGGAUGGCAAAUGGAUUCCACGAUUUACACUGGCCCAUGGAAUCUUUGCUGGUGUUGAAUUGUUUUUUCAGAUGAAAUUGAAUUGGUUAUUGCAUUAUGGAAUCAUGGUUCAUUUCGUAGAGCAUACUAACAAUUAUUGGUUCAACUGUUACCGAAAAAGGGUUCCCCGCUUUUGUAUUCCAAAGCAACCAACACCAAUACAUAUGGCAUUGCUCGGGCGAGCAGCACAUCCAGCCCAAAACCUGUCUCUNUGAUGAAGAAGAAAGAAAUGUCAACAACGGCAACUGACAGAGAGCGGAUGACCCGCCACCGCUGCGCCCUCCGGAGACAGACCACCACAGCCCGAGGCUCCGAUCACACCGCGUAUCAAGCAACAUCUCCAAGAAGGGAUGUGAUGCUGACGACGCUGCUACCCGGACAAGCCCUAGGGUUUCCCCCGGCACGCGGAGGGAAGUACGGGAUGGCUACCCCCGAUACCCUCCAGGAAGGAAUGGUGGCACCCGUCGGUGUCACCACAUCGAAGCCGGAAGAACCGACAAGGAUUUCUCCUGCACUCCAAACCCCACCGCCUAACCGGAGCCGACCAGCCAGACCACCGCCCAACCCCAUGCCCCACCAUGGUAGCGCUGCCACACACCUUGUCACCAACACGAGGCCAAGAAGCUCGGAGAGAAGCGCCAAGCGACAUAGUGGCAGCACUGAAACCAAGCGGGAGGGAACAACCUCCACCGUCGUCGUGCGAGAGGCCAGCACCUCCGGCACUGUCGCGUCGUCGUCCAAACAAGGCAGCAGGGCAUACCAUACCACCCCUGGCCCGGCUAGGCCCAAAAUGGGCUCGCUAAGCCCGCCGGCCAUGCUGCAGCAGGCUGGCGUUGGUGCCGCCAGCACCCAUCAGCUCGUCGCAGCUCCCCUGCCUUCCGAAAGUCCCGCCGUUGGCCCGCCCAAGCCAAAAUGGGCCUUGAAAGGCCUAGAUCUGGGCCGAGAGGCUGCCACCAGGUUGCACCGCAGCGACACCUCGCCCCGCCGUCCAGUAGUCCGCCGCGAGCCCCGUCGCCGCCUAGGAGCACCCCCUGGUGCAGCUCCGCCCCGCACUGGAGAGACACCGGGAGGGGAAGGUCAGGGGGCCGCCGCCACCGACGUCCCCGGGGCCAGGCCGGCCGUGAGCACCAGCGACGGCGGCGGGGAGGAGGAGGAGAGGGGGGCUAGAGGAGGCGGAGGCUGGGGCGCGGCCGGUCGGAAGGAGGAGGUCUAUCUGAACUCAUAAAGUAGGAGUAGCAUGUUCAACUGUUCAUGUUGGUACCGUCGAAGUUUGCGUUCUAAGCAACAGAUAUCCAAAACAAAGUUUUACUCCAUAGAAGAUUUUCUUACUGAAAGUUGAUGGCUGCCUGUCUGGACCCUUCGGUCCUAGCUGGGCGGUGCGGAAUUCAGUCCAUAAAUAUAUUUCUUAUUUCCUCAAAAUGCUAGCUGACGUUGCUUAUUUGUUCCCUCCAAAAGAAAUGGCACCUUUUGUUUCUUAUAAGAUUCCAUGCCGCAACUAGGAUGGACCAUAUCAGUUGGUUUCUUGUACUAUAUAUGUUGUACUGUAGCAGCAAAGGAAUUCUAAUGUCUUGGCAGUACUCUGAGAUAUUUCUUGAUUUGGGUACCCAAGCAUGUCCAUAAAAAUUCGGCGAUGGUAUGAAAAUACAUCAUAACUAUUUUUCUUCGUGAAGGAAAAACAUUAUAGCUUUGUGCUUUGGUACUAGUAAAAAUCGAAACCACGUUUUGUGAAAGUGAUUUUCUUUAACAAGGCAUUAAACUGAAAUUAUUUAAAAAACUAAGCUCUGGGACUGAAACAAUUUACUAGGAAAACAUAUCAACUGGAAUUUGAUGAAUGAAAUGCAAUUUUCUAGACCUGCAUGGAUCGAAUAGAUUCCAUAAUGCUGCAUCGGAACUUGAUCAGCCCCUCGAAAACCACUCUCAUUAUGCUCCAGUUUAACAUUUUCAUUUGCAAUUUGUACUGCCUUUUUGGUUUUGAUGCCAUUUUAUACUGCUUUACAUUCUGACAGUUAAUCACUUGAAAUGGAAGGAUUGGCUACUGAAGGAAUGCGGCGUGGCCAGUUUCGCAAGUUAACUUAUCGUUCACAUGUCACCGUUCCCUGUUAAUGGGCUUGUGAGCUGGAAGAGUCUUUGUCCACUGUCAUACUAUCUGUCCUUUUCUUAUCGCCUAAACAGCUUAUUGACUAAAC